rnacentral:lncRNA from 1 species
UCAGGAAUAAUUCACAAGAUUGAGGAGACUCUCCACAUCGGAGGAAACAAGAAGGAAGAGCACAAGGGAGAGUCUCAUGGCCAUGGAGAUCACAAAGAUCACAAAGAUCACAAGGAUCACAAGGGCGAUCACCACAAGGGAGAAGGCGAGCACAAGGAAGGGAUUGUUGACAAGAUAAAGGACAAGAUCCAUGGAGAUCAUGAGCAUGGUGACGGCGACAAGAAGAAGAAGAAGAAGGAAAAGAAGAAGCAUGAGCAUGGCCAUGAUCACGAUGGUCAUAGCAGCAGCAGCAGCG